rnacentral:miRNA from 1 species
ACAUACUUCUUUAUAUGCCC